AUACGGAGGAUGCGAGCGUUAUCCGGAUUUAUUGGGUUUAAAGGGAGCGUAGGUGGGAUAUUAAGUCAGCUGUGAAAGUUUGGGGCUCAACCUUAAAAUUGCAGUUGGUACUGGUUUCCUUGAGUACGGUACAGGUGGGCGGAAUUCGUGGUGUAGCGGUGAAAUGCUUAGAUAUCACGAAGAACUCCGAUCGCGAAGGCAGCUCACCGGGCCGGAACUGACACUGAUGCUCGAAAGUGCGGGUAUCAAACAGGAUUAGAUACCCUGGUAGUCCGCACAGUAAACGAUGAAUACUCGCUGUUUGCGAUACACUGUAAGCGGCCAAGCGAAAGCGUUAAGUAUUCCACCUGGGGAGUACGCCGGCAACGGUGAAACUCAAAGGAAUUGACGGGG
rnacentral:rRNA from 1 species